ACGGCUCAGUAACACGUAGCUAACUUGCCUUAAGGUCAGGGAUACCCUCGGGAAACUGAGGUUAAUACCUGAUAGGGGAUGAUUACUGGAAUGUAUUAUCCCUGAAACUCGUGCCUUAAGAUAGGGCUGCGGCUGAUUAGGUUGUUGGCGGGGUAAUGGCCCACCAAGCCGAUGAUCAGUAAGGGCUUUUAGCGAAGGGGCCCUGAGAAGGAAUCUGAGACACUAUUCCUAGCCUUACGGGGUGCAGCAGUUAAGAAUCUUCUACAAUGCGCGCAAGCGUGAUAGAGCGGGCCAGAGUGCUUUUCCACAUGGAAAGGCUUUUGCCAAAUGUAAACAGUUUGGCGAAUAAGGACCGGGAAAGACUGGUGCCAGCCGCCGCGGUAAUACCAGCGGUUCGAGUCGCAGCCAUAUUUAUUGGGUCUAAAACAUCCGUAGCUUGCUUUGCAAGUCUUCUGUGAAAUUCCAUAUCUCAAGUAUGGAGCGUGCAGGAGAUACUGCAUAGCUAGAGACCGGGAGACGUGAGGAGUACGGAGGGGGUAUCGGUAAAAUGAGUUGAUCCCUUCUGGACUAACGAUAGCGAAGGCACCUCACGAGAACGGAUCUGACAGUCAGGAUGAAGGCUAGGGUCGCGAAAGGGAUCAGAUACCCCUGUAGUCCUAGCAGUAACACUGCUCACUAAACAUCGGGCCCUCUUCGGGAGGGAUUCGUGCUGAAGCGAAGGCAAAGAGUGAGCUACCUGGGAAGUAUAGUCGCAGAUCCGAAACUUAAAGGAAUUGGCGGGGGAGCAC
rnacentral:rRNA from 1 species